GGUUGUGGCUUAGUGAUAGAGUGCUCGCCUAUCAUGCAUGAGGCACUGAGUUCGAUCCUCAGGAUCA
rnacentral:tRNA from 1 species